rnacentral:tRNA from 2 species
GGGGGUGUAGCUCAGUGGUAGAGCGCGUGCUUAGCAUGCACGAGGUCCUGGGUUCGAUCCCCAGCUCCUCCA